rnacentral:rRNA from 1 species
CUACGGGAUGCAGCAGCAGGGAAUAUUGCACAAUGGACGGAAGUCUGAUGCAGCGACGCCGCGUGGAUGAUGAAGGCCUUCGGGUUGUAAAAUCCUUUUCAGGGAGAAGAGGAAGGACGGUAUCCCUGGAAUAAGCGUCGGCUAACUACGUGCCAGCAGCCGCGGUAAUACGUAGGACGCAAGCGUUAUCCGGAUUUACUGGGCGUAAAGCGUCUGUAGGCGGUUUAGUAAGUUUGAUGUGAAAGCUCCAGGCUCAACUUGGAGAGUGCAUUGAAUACUGCUAGACUUGAGGGGAUCAGAGGAAAGCGGAAUUUCCGGUGUAGCGGUAAAAUGCGCAGAUAUCGGAAAGAACACCAGUGGCGAAGGCGGCUUUCUGGGAUCAACCUGACGCUGAGAGACGAAAGCUAGGGUAGCGAACAGGAUUAGAUACCCCAGUAGUC